CAGACAUGAGACAUACGUAUUUUGUAAAAAUUGUGAAAGUGAAGAGUGAAGAAUAGACUCAAUAACAGUGUCAUUUAUCCUUCCAUCUCGUUACGCCUUCCCUACUGUAGUUCAACCGAUUCCUGAAGAAGUAAUUCCCUCACGGAGGUACAUCUAAUUGACGACGAUAGAUCAAAGGAGAUAAUCAAUAUUUUUGAAAAGUAUUUUCUUAACCCAAUUAUUAGAGAUGAUAGAUCGAAAGAGAUAAUCAAUAUUUCUGAAGAGUGUUUUCUUAGCCCAAUUGUUAGAGAUGUUAAAGCAACUCAAAUAAAUAGUUACAUUUUAAAAAAUGUUAACGACCAAAGACGACAGAAAUCGGUAACGGAUCUGGAAUUCUGCACAUUUAUAGAUGUUUUGGGAACAUGUUUGAAACCAGCGAAACAAAGAAAAUUAUUGGCCGUAUAUUUGCAUCAUGAUAUCAAGAUAUUAGCAAAUGUGCUCUAAUUAUUCGAAACAGUUCAACAAUUUUCUUCAGCUAAUUUUAUAGAAUACGG
rnacentral:lncRNA from 13 species